rnacentral:rRNA from 1 species
AUUGAACGCUGGCGGCAUGCCUUACACAUGCAAGUCGAACGGCCGCACGGGUGCUUGCACCUGGUGGCGAGUGGCGAACGGGUGAGUAAUACAUCGGAACAAGUCCUGUAGUGGGGGAUAGCCCCGCGAAAGCCGGAUUAAUACCGCAUACGAACUACGUAUGAAAGCGGGGGACCUUCUGGCCUCGCGCUUUAGGGUCGGCCGAUGGCUGAUUAGCUAGUUGGUGGGGUAAAGGCCUACCAAGGCGACGAUCAGCAGCUGGUCUGAGAGGACGACCAGCCACACUGGGACUGAGACACGGCCCAGACUCCUACGGGAGGCAGCAGUGGGGAAUUUUGGACAAUGGGCGAAAGCCUGAUCCAGCAAUGCCGCGUGUGUGAAGAAGGCCUUCGGGUUGUAAAGCACUUUUGUCCGGAAAGAAAUCCUUGGCCCUAAUACGGGCGGGGGAUGACGGUACCGGAAGAAUAAGCACCGGCUAACUACGUG